rnacentral:rRNA from 1 species
UACAGAGGGUGCGAGCGUUUAAUCGGAAUUACUGGGCGUAAAGCGUGCGUAGACGGUUAUUUAAGUCGGGUGUGAAAGCCCCGGGCUCAACCUGGGAACUGCGUCCGAUACUGGAUGGCUUGAAUUCGGGAGAGGGAUGCAGAAUUCCAGGUGUAGCGGUGAAAUGCGUAGAUAUCUGGAGGAAUACCGGUGGCGAAGGCGGCAUCCUGGACGAGAUGACACAUGAAAGCGAAAGCCAGGGGAGCAAACGGG